rnacentral:lncRNA from 1 species
GUCACUACUGGCCCAUGGAAGAAGACCUGUUGGGCUGCAGCCCCGGAGAAGCCUAGCCUGCCACGGCCACUUCCUGUAUUGUUAGGAUGAAUGGGGGAUUGGAGGGAUGGCCUCGGAAGGAACCGUCAUGGAGAAGCUGGUACUGGGCCUGAGCUCUCCCCCGCCGGGCACCCUGCAGAUGCUGUGGUGGCUGUUUCUGACCAUCCCCUGGCUGGGGGACUCUGUGCCCGGACCCGUGAGCCGCUGCCCCCCACCACCUACAGGAAGUGGAGGUUCCCAUCGUGAGGAACAGGGAGUGUGAUCACCGCUCCCAGAACUCUCCGGACCCAACGAUCAGAUCAUCAAGGGUGACAUGCUGUGUGCCUGGAGCGAGGGCUGGGACUCCUGCCAGGUGAGGUCCCAGGCUGCCCCAGGUGCGUGCUUGGUCCCCUUCUAGCUGGGACCGUGGGACCUACCGGUCCCUUUAUCGUGGGGACGUGGGACGCUCUUGUUCAGUGGCUUCUAUCCCCAGAGCUGGACCCUGGGGGUCCCGUGGAACUGCACCUGGGUCCAGGGGGGUCUCGCGAGCUGGGGCUACAGGUGUGGCGACUGCGACUUCCCUGGGGUGUAUACCCGCGUCAUGAGCGACGUGUCCUCGAUCUGCUAGUAUGUCCCUC